rnacentral:tRNA from 1 species
GCCACCGUAGCUCAGCCCGGCUAGAGCGCCGGCCUUGUAAGGUAAAGCAGGAGAGCCGGUGGUCGCGGGUUCGAAUCCCGCCGGUGGCU